GUGCCGGAGUAGCCGAUAGCAAAAAGGAGUCACACCCCACCGCCAGGAAGUGAAUAGAGAAAAUGGACCAAUAUAUACUUUUUAUCAUACUCACUCUCAUUACAACUUCCUCUUCGGACGUACAAGUUUUAGACUAUAGCAAAUCCCAACUAGUGACGAUAGACAAUGGACAAGCAAAAAUUCAAAACGGUACAUUCAGAUUCAUUCAUCUCAUCGACUUAGAGAAAUACGAACAAUUUUUAACAGAUACAUAUGAAGAAAUGAUCAACCAAAUCCCUAACAACCACCUCCUAUAUCCCAUUCUAAAACAUGAAACCAUCCAAACCUUCGAAAUUCUAAACGCUCUAAAACCCUCAAAAUCUAUCAGAAGAAAAAAAUCAUUUAACAUAUUAGGAACGGCAUGGAAAUACAUAGCCGGAUCUCCCGAUCACGAAGAUCUUGAAAUAAUUAUAAAUAACUUAGAAAAUUUGAAUAAAAAUAAUAAUAAACAAGUAGUAAUAAAUAAAUUAUUCGAAAAACGAAUAAAUAACAUAACCCACAUUAUGAACAAGAUGAUAAAUACAAUUAGAAAA